rnacentral:rRNA from 1 species
UUGAAAGCUUGCUUUUGAUGAGCCUAGUGGCAAACGGGUGAGUAACGCGUAGGCAACCUGCCCUCAGGAUGGGGACAACGGCCCGAAAGGACCGCUAAUACCGAAUGAAGUGUCGGAAUCGCAUGAUACUGAUACCAAAGGCGGAGCAAUCCGUCACCUGAGGAUGGGCCUGCGUCUGAUUAGGUAGUUGGUGAGGUAACGGCCCACCAAGCCGACGAUCAGUAGCCGGUCUGAGAGGAUGAACGGCCACAUUGGGACUGAGACACGGCCCAGACUCCUACGGGAGGCAGCAGUGGGGAAUCUUCCGCAAUGGGCGAAAGCCUGACGGAGCAACGCCGCGUGAGUGAAGAAGGUCUUCGGAUCGUAAAGCUCUGUUGUCGGGGACGAAGGGGCAGAUCAGGAAAUGGGUCUGCUUAGACGGUACCUGACGAGGAAGCCACGGCUAACUACGUGCCAGCAGCCGCGGUAAUACGUAGGCGGCAAGCGUUGUCCGGAAUCAUUGGGCGUAAAGGGAGCGCAGGUGGGACGGUAAGUCUUUCUUAAAAGUGCGGGGCUCACCCCCGUGAGGGGAAAGAAACUAUCGUUCUUGAGUGCAGGAGAGGAAAGCGGAAUUCCUAGUGUAGCGGUGAAAUGCGUAGAUAUUAGGAAGAACACCAGUGGCGAAGGCGGCUUUCUGGACUGUAACUGACACUGA